GAGUGCAUAGCUCAGUGGACAGAGCACAUGGCUACGAACCAUGCGGUCGGGGGUUCGACUCCCUCUGCGCUCA
rnacentral:tRNA from 3 species